rnacentral:pre_miRNA from 1 species
GUUAACCUGUGUGUGGAUGGUGUUCAGUACCAAGGACAGGUGUGUUAACCUGUGUGUGGAUGGUGUUUAGCACUUUAAAUUAUUUCUAA